GACGAACGCUGGCGGCGUGCUUAACACAUGCAAGUCGAACGGACAGGUCCUGCUCUUGCGCGGCGCUCGAGUGGCGAACGGGGGAGUAACACGUGUGUAACCUGCCCCUGAAAUUGGGAUAACUUCAGGAAACUGCGGCUCAUAUCGGAUAGGAGCUCUUGCUGCACGGUGGUGGAUAGAAAGAUUCGGCGGUUGGGGAUGGAAUCGCGGCUUAUCCGCCUGUUGGUGGGGUAGUGGCUUACCAAGGCUUUGACGGAUAGGCGGCCUGAGAGGGGGGCCAGCGACAAGGGGACUGAGAUAGGGCGCAGUAGGCUACGGGAGGCAGCGGUGGAGAGUAUUGCACAAUAGGGGGGAGCCAGUUGCAACGGCGCCGCGUGCGGAAUGACGGCCUUCGAGGUGAGAACCGCUGUGGCAGUAGACAAGCCGUGAGUGACGGUAAUGGGUCAGGAAGCACCGGCUAACUACGUG
rnacentral:rRNA from 1 species